UACAGAGGAUGCAAGCGUUAUCCGGAAUGAUUGGGCGUAAAGCGUCUGUAGGUGGCUUUUUAAGUCCGCCGUCAAAUCCCAGGGCUCAACUCUGGACAGGCGGUGGAAACUACCAAGCUGGAGUACGGUAGGGGCAGAGGGAAUUUCCGGUGUAGCAGUGAAAUGCGUAGAGAUCGGGAGGAACAUCUGUGGCGAAGGCGGCCACCUGGACCAACACUGACACUGAGGCACGAAAGCGUGGGGAGCAAACAGG
rnacentral:rRNA from 1 species